GUUAUUGUAGGGUUUGGCCCAUUUGCCCCAAGUCAGCGUGAAACCCACGCGUUUACAAAACAAAGAAACGUAAGAGAGAGGACCAUGAAGUUGAAUGUGAGAACAGAGCUGUGUUGCCUCUGAAGUCGAGCGACCGACCAUGGUGUUCACCGUCGACCAGUGACCAUCGACCGCCGUCCACCACUCUCUCUCUCUCUCUCGAUUAGCGACCUUGUUAUUGUUGUUAGGACCUUGCUAUUUUCAUUCCUCUCUGUUUCUUCUUUAUUCUCUUUCUUCUCCAAUCAGACUCCCCACCAGCGAUCUCCCUCAUCGCGACAACCAAAACUUAAUCGGCAUCCCUCUGGCGAAGUUCUCCGGCACCGGCAGCCCCACGGCAACAACCUCCACCGGCCAGUCCAGCUCCGGGAGUGUUGAAGGCAGCCUUGGUGUUGAUGACUUUGUACUUGGACUGCUACAUACUGGGUCAACGUGUCCCUACCUCUGUGACCGCCAUUCUCAACCUCUCCUCACCAUUCCCUGAGGUAUGUGAUCCAAUCCCAACUAUUAG